UACGGAGGGUGCAAGCGUUAUCCGGAUUUACUGGGUUUAAAGGGUGUGUAGGCGGGUCUUUAAGUCAGUGGUGAAAUCUCCGAGCUCAACUUGGAAACUGCCAUUGAUACUAUUGAUCUUGAAUUUUGUUGAGGUAGGCGGAAUAAGUCAUGUAGCGGUGAAAUACAUAGAUAUGACUUAGAACACCAAUUGCGAAGGCAGCUUGCUAAACAAAUAUUGACGCUGAGGCACGAAAGCGUGGGGAUCAAACAGG
rnacentral:rRNA from 1 species